GUCUAUGGCCAUGCUAUCUUGAACUAGCCAGAUCCGUCUGAUCUCGGAAGCUAAGCAGGGUCGGGCCUGGUUAGUACUUGGGUGAGAGAUCACCUAGGAAGACCAGGUGCUGUAGGCA
rnacentral:rRNA from 1 species